GUCAAUGGAGGCAACUCUGAACCAGCCAUGCCGCGUGCAGGAAGAAGGUUCUAUGGAUUGUAAACUGCUUUUAUACGGGAAGAAACACUACCUUGCGAGGUAGCUUGACUGUACUGUAAGAAUAAGGAUCGGCUAACUCCGUGCCAGCAGCCGCGGUAAUACGGAGGAUCCGAGCGUUAUCCGGAAUCAUUGGGUUUAAAGGGUCUGUAGGCGGGUUAGUAAGUCAGUGGUGAAAGUUUGCGGCUUAACCGUAAAAUUGCCGUUGAUACUGCUAGUCUUGAAUAUUUGUGAAGUAGCUAGAAUAUGUAGUGUAGCGGUGAAAUGCUUAGAUAUUACAUGGAAUACCGAUUGCGAAGGCAGGUUACUAACAGAUUAUUGACGCUGAUGGACGAAAGCGUGGGUAGCGAACAG
rnacentral:rRNA from 1 species